GAUUCUUGUGUUUGAUUUACGAACUUGAGCAUCCGGAUCAGUGUUUAGGGUAUUAUUAUUUUGUGCUCAUUUCGUUGCUCUAGCGAUAACCUUAUCAGCAUUGUAUGAAAUGAGUGAGGUAAUGGAGAAAAAAUUCACUUGGGUUUCGAGAAAAUUAACAACUGUGGUAGGUGAUAAGUGUUACUCUCACCCCUUCAAGCUCGCCGGCUGCGAUUGGCGACUUCUUGCUUCUCUCAGGGGAUAUACCAACUUGUCCUUGUAUCUGGAACUUGAUGAUCCUGCUUCUUUGCCAUUAGGAUGGAGAAGAGAUGUGAAAUUGCGCCUCACUCUUGUCAAUAAGGGUCGGCGUAGAUCCAAUAAAACAUUAGGAGGGCAAUAUAGUUUUGAUGCAAAGUAUAACAGUUGGGGUUUUGAAGAGUUCUUGCCCUUUGAUACACUUAUUGAUCCAUGGGAGAGAUAUAUGGUGAGUGACAGACUCAUUAUCCUCGCCCAAGUACAAGUUCUUCCGGCUAUUGUUGUACCUGUCAAGAUUAUUGAACCUCAGGGGCAUUCUUCUUGCCAAGUGGCGGAAGCUACUGAGAAUGCAUCUAAAGAGAAUUUUGAUGAUGAUGACGCAUCUGAAGAGGGUAUGGAGGACGCUGAUGAUGAUGCAUCUGAUGAGGGUUCAGAUGACGAUGAUGCAUCUGAAGAGAAUUCAGAAGAUGAUGAUGAUGAUGAUGCGUCAUCUCCUGUUUCAGAUGAUGGAGGUUUGGACAUAAGUUCUUUGAGCCAAUCAAAUGCUUCGGAUGACGUUUCUCGUUCAGUGGGAAUUUAUGGUAUAAGCUCUAACAGUGUGGCAGCUGAGACUGAGUUUUCCAACUGUGAUAAUGAUGAUGCACCUAAAGAAGAUGUCGAUGAUGAUACUUCAUCUUUUGUUUCAUAUGAUAGUGCUAGAAACCGGAGUUCCCUAGACCAAGUUAAGUCCUUGGAGGAUGCCUCUCAAACAGCAGAAAAUGGUGGUAGGGGGCUUACCAUGGCAUCUGUUACUGGAACUUCUGAUAAUAUGCUUACGGAGACUCAACCAGUAAAGAAAACAAUGGACAUCAAUGGGUUUGAGGUUUUCUCUUCCCAGGUUGAAUCGGUAAGCCAUAUCUUCAAAAGACACCCAGACAUGGCUAUAGGCUUCCGUCCAAAGAACCAACAGAUCAGAAGAGCUUACAUGGAUGCACUCCUUAGCCUCAUCAAGAUGCUGUGCCAGUCACCAGAGAAGUUCUCAGAGGAUGAACUGAGCAAUGCUGAUGAUACACUUGUUGAUUUGAUUGAUGCUGGCUUUAAGUUAAAUUGGCUGAAGACAAAGCUGGAUGAGGUCUCUCAGAAGAAAAAGAUGGAGCAGGGUAGUGGGGCCCGGAUACAAACAAUGGAGGAACAGUUGCAGAAGCUGAAAGAGAUGUUCUUGGAUCUUGAAUCUCAGCUGCAGAAGGAAAAAUUGGAGGCUUUGGUUGCGAGAGCUCCUCUCUCGUUCAACGAUGUUGUUUGCUGAUUUGUUAGGAUUAUUGUGGCCUUGUUAGGUGACUCUUCAUUUUCUUUUAAUGCCUCAGAACAAGUCUCAAGUUCAUAUUCUUUGAGUCUUGUGUCGAAUGGUACUAAGUAGUGAAAUUAACCUGAAAUGUUACUAUUUCAAAACUUGUGAACAACUAAAGUGUACGUCUGAGGAUUUAAGUUUUGCAGGAUUUGGACCAUAACUCCAUUUUCUCUGCUUUUGGGGCUUCAAGGUUUGCUUUUACUCUGCUACAAAUGAAUACAGGGGAGGAUUCACAGGCAGGAGUGGAGGAGAUGGAGACUAUAAUAGUUACUCUAGCCUCAGAUCAUAUUUCCUAAGCGAUAUUAUAAUAACUCUUCUUGGGAAUCAAUGAUAGAGAAAAGUUAUUCUUGGGAAUCAACAACAAAAGAAGAAAAAAGCGGUUGUUUUCUUCCAAUAAGGCCAUUCCCACUCCCGUUUCUCCCUUCAAAUUUCAAAAUACUAAAUUGAAUGCUUUUUUUAAUUAUUAUUCGACUUUGAAGGGUAGUAGUCCUUUUAACCAUCCAUCCUCUAAAAAUCUUUAACCUCUUUAGACUCUGUUCGUUUUGUAAAGAGUGCUUUAAGUACAGUGAACUUUGAUGGGGAAGAAGAAAGUUAAUCAGAAGGUCGACUGGGCGAUACAAAAUGUCUCCUCUUUGCAAUCUGAGGGAAUCUUUACUGAUCCAUUUGUAAUUGGUGGCUGCAAAUGGCAACUUCGAGCAUCCCGUCUCAAGCAAUAUGACGUCGAAUACUUGUCUCUUUAUCUGGGGCAUGUUGCUGAUUGUGAAUCAUCGACGUUUGAGUGGAGAAGAAAAGCCUAUUUCCGCUUUACAAUAGUAAACCAACUUUCGAAAAAACUCUCAGUAUGGGAAG